rnacentral:rRNA from 1 species
AUGGCGGAAACCCUGGCGGGCCUCCGGCUGGCCGCCUCCGCGGUCCCGCAUCCACGGAGCCAACGACGCUCCUGCGCCGCGCCGCCCCACCAUCGCCUCCCCCAGCUCCGGCGCGGCCGGCUCUGCGCCCGGGCGGCCGUCACGGGCGCGCCGGAGGUGGACGAGGACGAGGCCAUGAGCAUCGACAACCUCUGCAGCUUCUUCGACCUCAACGUCGGCAAGUGGAACGGCAUCUUCUACCAAUUCGACGCGCACGGGAGGGUUCAGCAGGAGAUCAGCACGCGGCUGUCCGCCAGCACCUACGGGGAGGGCAACCUCAUCAGCCUCAUGCAAUCGCUGUAUAUCAAGCAGGCUACGUCCGGGAUAACAUUUGCGGACGAGGAGGAUCCCGAACCAGAGUGGGCGGAGUACAAGAUCAAGGAGACUAACAUGUUCACUGUAGAUAAAUAUCAGCAGAUAGGGUUCUUUCCUGAGCAGAAGGCAUUUGCGUUGAGAUAUCAGACUGCUGGAAUGCUGGAGACUGUCCUUCGAGCCGGUGUGCUCGGAGAAGAUGACACUGGUGAAGAAUCCCCCAGAAACUUGAAGAUUCCUUCUCGUAAACCAUCUAUUGUCUGUGAGAAUUGUAUUUACUCUCUUGAUGGCAAUGGUCGAGUAAGAGCUUUCCACAUAAUGGACCCAAAUGGAGUGCUCGAUACACUUAUUGUUUUUCAUGAAAAUCAGGGCUCCAUAGUGCCACUUACACACUCUUCAACUGAUGAUCCAGAGAAUCCCAGCAACGAUAGGAUAAAUGCUCUGCUUGGAAGGUGGGAGGGCCAUUCUGUGACGAAGAGGAGCGGGGUGUAUGGAGCAACGCUCGAUGAAGCUGAUACGGUUGUCCUCCUUGAAAUGGACAAUAAUGGUCAGCUGGUUCAGGAUAAUAUAUCAACGAAAACCGGAACUAGCACGACAACAACGAUCCACUGGACAGGAGUAGCGAAUAGCAACUUGCUUCAGUUUGAUGGAGGAUAUGAGAUUACUUUGCUACCUGGAGGGAUGUACAUGGGAUAUCCAUCAGACAUCAGCAAGUGCAUUGAGCAGUUAGAUCCUUUUAAUUUGGAGUUUUGUUGGAUGGAAUCACCAGGAAAGAGGCAGCGGCUCGUGCGGACUUUCGACUCGGCUGGUCUGGCUGUUUCGUCGACCUACUUCUUAGAGACCAAAGUAUGA